rnacentral:rRNA from 1 species
UACGUAGGGGGCUAGCGUUGUCCGGAAUCAUUGGGCGUAAAGCGCGUGUAGGCGGUCCGGUAAGUCCGCUGUGAAAGUCGGGGGCUCAACCCUCGGAUGCCGGUGGAUACUGUCGGGCUUGAGUACGGAAGAGGCGUGUGGAAUUCCUGGUGUAGCGGUGAAAUGCGCAGAUAUCAGGAGGAACACCAAUGGCGAAGGCAGCACUCUGGGACGUGACUGACGCUGAGACGCGAAAGCGUGGGGAGCAAACAGG